AGUGAACGCUGGCGGUAGGCCUAACACAUGCAAGUCGAACGGCAGCACAGUAAGAGCUUGCUCUUACGGGUGGCGAGUGGCGGACGGGUGAGGAAUACAUCGGAAUCUACUUUUUCGUGGGGGAUAACGUAGGGAAACUUACGCUAAUACCGCAUACGACCUACGGGUGAAAGCAGGGGAUCUUCGGACCUUGCGCGAUUGAAUGAGCCGAUGUCGGAUUAGCUAGUUGGCGGGGUAAAGGCCCACCAAGGCGACGAUCCGUAGCUGGUCUGAGAGGAUGAUCAGCCACACUGGAACUGAGAAACGGUCCAGACUCCUAAGGGAGGGAGCAGGGGGGAAUAUUGGACAAUGGGCGCAAGCCUGAUCCAGCCAUACCGCGUGGGUGAAGAAGGCCUUCGGGUUGGAAAGCCCUUUUGUUGGGAAAGAAAAGCAGCAGGUUAAUACCCCGCUGUUCUGACGGUACCCAAAGAAUAAGCACCGGCUAACUUCGUG
rnacentral:rRNA from 1 species